AAGGCAGCCAAGUUCGGUGCUGGAGGAGCAGGAGCCUUGGGAGGUCUGGUGCCAGGGGUCGGAGACGGAGUGGCAGGUGUCCCAGGCACAGGAGUGGUGCCAGGAGCAGGGAUUCCAGCCGCUGCAGCCGCCAAAGCCGCUGCCAAAGCCGCCCAGUUUGGAGUAGGGGCCCCCGCUGCAGCCAAAGCCGCUGCGAAAGCAGCCGCCAAAGCCCAGUUCCGGGCUGCAGCUGGGCUUCCUGCUGGCGUUCCUGGAUUAGGGGUUGGUGCCGGCGUUCCUGGAUUCGGAGUUGGUGCUGGCGUUCCUGGAUUCGGAGUUGGUGCUGGUGUUCCCGGAUUUGGGGCAGGUGCAGUACCUGGAACCCUGGCUGCGGCUAAGGCAGCCAAAUAUGGUGAGUGCACCCCACACACGGCCCCCUGUGGUUGGUUUGCUUGCUGUCCCACCAGCCCUGAUAACACCUGGUCACCCAUCUCCCCUCCGCGGGGCCGGGGCCCAGUGCCCAGAGCCUGCAGCACAGCGCUGGGAGGGUCAGGGAGGAAAAAGGCCGUUUCUAGGACACACUAAUGAUGGGUGAGGAGACCUGGCCCCAGCCCGCUAAACGCCUAUCAUGCCUCCAGCUCCAGGACAACUCAAAAUGCCCCUCACAGUUCCAAAGCCCCUAGUGGCAGUUCCUU
rnacentral:lncRNA from 1 species